rnacentral:rRNA from 1 species
UACGGGGGGGGCAAGCGUUGUUCGGAAUUACUGGGCGUAAAGGGCUCGUAGGUGGCCAACUAAGUCAGACGUGAAAUCCCUCGGCUUAACCGGGGAACUGCGUCUGAUACUGGAUGGCUUGAGUUCGGGAGAGGGAUGCGGAAUUCCAGGUGUAGCGGUGAAAUGCGUAGAUAUCUGGAGGAACACCGGUGGCGAAGGCGGUUCUCUGGGCCUUACCUGACGCUGAGGAGCGAAAGCGUGGGGAGCGAACAGG